ACCAAAUCAAUGUAAAUAAGUAUUUUUUUUGGGGGUUGGGGGAGCGACUUUUUAUCUCGACUUUCUUUCUUUUUUUUCUUUUUUCUAGGGUUUAGAUCCUUUGUUUCUGCUGCACCAGGCGGCCUUCCUCUGCUCUUCCUCGUUCCGGGUAGGGUUGUGAAUUACAUAAGUUGUGUUUUGUGGUAGAUCCAAAGCUUUUUGGGUGAGGGUUUCCUUUAGAUCUGCACUGAUUUUGCUCCAAUAGAGGCGAGCUGCUUAUUUCUUCUGUUACGGUGCAAUGGCCACAGUUCUGUUAAGCUAUGGUUGAGGGGUCUUUUUUUCAGUGUGGAUGGUUAUCGCAGGGGUUUUUAGCCAACCUCCUUCUUGGUGGCCGACCUUCAAGGCCAAUAGAUGUUAGUGCUGGUGAACUCUGCCUCCAUUCCCUUUGAAGGUUAUCGUAGAUAGCUGUGUGUUUUGGAUAUCGAGUUUGGUUGACUAGUUGGGUUUGAGUCUCGGCUAUGGCUUUGUUAAACAUGCAAGCUUGGUUACCAUGGAUGCCUAUGUUUUCUUCUCGCAACGGCCAAACAGUUCUGGCUCAAGAGACCAACGGCCCUGUAAGGGAUGAUGGAUGCUGAGCUCUUUAGUUUUUUAUCUGGGUUAUGUGUUUAUGUAGAGAUUGUCUUUUGAGGCCCUUUGCGCUACUUCUGGAAGGAAGGGUUGCUGGAUGGUGUUUCAUACGUGUAUCUCUUUCUCAUCUUGCCAGCAUCUUCUUCUCCCAGUUGACAAUCGGUGGCCGGCGGCAUUCCUCUUCUAGUCUCUUGUUAGCUCUAAGUUUGUUGGUUGUAGGCCUCUGAGCCGAGUUGCUUGUUUAGAGCUAGUACUUUGGGACUUUUUCUCUAUGUGAUCUUGAGUUGUAUUUGGGUUUGGUUCUCUUGAGCCCUGAGUUUGUAUUAAUCCUUAUGAUUUAAU
rnacentral:misc_RNA from 1 species